rnacentral:rRNA from 1 species
CAGCAGCCGCGGGAAUACGUAGGGUGCAAGCGUUAAUCGGAAUUACUGGGCGUAAAGCGUGCGUAGGCGGCUUCUUAAGUCGGAUGUGAAAUCCCUGAGCUUAACUUAGGAAUUGCAUUCGAUACUGGGAAGCUAGAGUAUGGGAGAGGAUGGUAGAAUUCCAGGUGUAGCGGUGAAAUGCGUAGAGAUCUGGAGGAAUACCGAUGGCGAAGGCAGCCAUCUGGCCUAAUACUGACGCUGAGGUACGAAAGCAUGGGGAGCAAACAGGAUUAGAGACCCCUGUAGUCCCUGUCUCUUAUAC